UUAUCAUGAUAAUUAGAAUUUAAACGGUAAUAUUAACCGUCAGCAAUUUUACCACGGUUUAUUGUUAUACCGGUAAUCGUUACAUCCCUAGUUUCCAACCAUAACAGUUAUAUAUUAGAUCAUGUAUGUGGAAAUGAAACCUCCAAGAUACCCUGUACAUACAGUGACCUCUAGUUGAAUCCCAUGCAGUCUGUGCCAUUUUCUACUAAUUUCUAAUCUAACUAAUCCUCCUGUGUAAUUUGAAAAUGUGUGUGUUUCCAUCCAGGUGUGGUCAGUGAAUGCACCACCAUAUGGACAGUGAUGGAGUUUUUCCUGCCUCAGUGGACGAGAUCAUGGAAAUAGAGGAACAUCAUACAGAACUGAUAACACCCUCUCUGUGCUGAUGCUGCAGAUUUCCUGCCUCAGUGGAUGAAAUCCUGGACGUGGAGGACCAUCAUUCAGAGCUGACGAUGCUGACGGGUGAGAUAUUUUAUCUUUAGUACUGAAAAGCUUUUUUUGAGGUCAGUUAAUAGUCCAACUAUGUGAUGUUUUUGAUCUGUUGAAUUGGUGAUUUCCUCUAUUGAGUCUAUUAAUGCCAGUGGAGUUACUCUGUUUGGUCUGAGUCUGUAUUGACUUUUAGUGAGUAUGUGUGAAUUUAUCCUGAAGAGUUUUUAGUUUGUGAAAUGGUGGUUAUUCCUAGAUUCAUAAGGAGCUAUCACUUAUGCAGCUUUGAUUUGAUUGACUGUUGGUGUUCAGAAAUAUGCAUUCCUGAUGUAUGGGUUGAAUUGGAUUAAAUUGUAUGUUCGUUUGUUUU